rnacentral:tRNA from 1 species
GCCCGCCUAGCUCAAUCGGAUAGAGCGUCAGACUCUUACCGCCUGUAAGCGGGUGUGAUCUGAAGGCUGCGAGUUCGACCCUCGCGGUGGGCU